GUCCUGGGAUGGGGGUAAAAACUCCAUCCCAUGCUGUUCAACCCUUUGUCUUUUGCGUACUGUAUGUUUCCUCGGCGGGUUCGCCCGCCGAUAGGACACUUCAAAACCUUUUGUAAUUGCAAUCAGCGUCAGAAAAACUAUAAUAGUUACAACUUUCAACAACGGAUCUCUUGGUUCUGGCAUCGAUGAAGAACGCAGCGAAAUGCGAAAAGUAGUGUGAAUUGCAGAAUUCAGUGAAUCAUCGAAUCUUUGAACGCACAUUGCGCCCCUUGGUAUUCCAUGGGGCAUGCCUGUUCGAGCGUCAUUUGUACCCUCAAGCUCUGCUUGGUGUUGGGUGUUUGUCCCGCCUUCGCGUGUGGACUCGCCUUAAAGUCAUUGGCAGCCGGAAUAAUUCUGGGGAACGCAGCACAACUGCAGCCUCCAUUUUACGCCGAGCGUCCAGUAAGCCUUUUUUUCACGUUUGACCUCGGAUCAGGUAGGGAUACCCGCUGAACUUAAGCAUAUCAAUAAGCGGAGGAAAAGAAACCAACAGGGAUUGCCCUAGUAACGGCGAGUGAAGCGGCAUCAGCUCAAAUUUGAAAUCUGGCUCUUUCAGGGUCCGAGUUGU
rnacentral:rRNA from 1 species